rnacentral:tRNA from 1 species
GCGUACUUAGCUUAAUGGUCAGAGCAUCACUCAUGAAUGCUGAGGUUGUGGGUUUGAGUCCCACAGUACACC